rnacentral:snRNA from 1 species
GUGCUCGCUUCGGCAGCACAUAUGCUAAAAUUGGAAUGAUACAGAGAAGAUUAGCAUGGCCCCUGCGCAAGGAUGAAAUGCAUAUCAGUAACAUUAGAUUCUUAGUUUUU